rnacentral:rRNA from 1 species
UACUCGAGUGGCGAACGGGUGAGUAACACGUGGGUGAUCUGCCCUGCACUCUGGGAUAAGCCUGGGAAACUGGGUCUAAUACCGGAUAGGACCGCACUUUAGUGUGUGUGGUGGAAAGUUUUUUCGGUGUAGGAUGAGCCCGCGGCCUAUCAGCUUGUUGGUGGGGUAAUGGCCUACCAAGACGGCGACGGGCAGCCGGACUGAGAGGUUGGUCGGCCACAUUGGGACUGAGAUACGGCCCAG